rnacentral:snoRNA from 1 species
GGCCUCCUAGUGCUUACUACAGACUGUGUUCUUACACUGACUGUAUAGAUGUCAAGGAGGAAAAGUAAACCUGCCCCAUAUAUACCUCAGUCCAGGCCCUGUGUCUGGUCUGUGUUGUGAAUAGGGAGAUAUGU